GUUUUUUAAUUGAGAAAUAGAAUGAAUGAAAUCACUAUUUUAAAUAUUUUUAAUAAAAAAAUUUUAAUUUUCAUGCUUAAUGCACAUUUUGAGCUUUAAUCUUAAGACGAUAAGACCCUAAAAACUAUCAUAUUAAAAAAGGGCUUUUAUCUUGUAAAGAUAAUAUGUUUAUUGGGGUAAUAAAAAAAAAUUUUACUGCUACGGGUUUAUUAUAACUUGAUCUUAAUAAAAAAAAAUGAACUAGUUACUUUAGGGAUAACAGCAUAAUAAUAAUAAAAGUCCUUWUUAAAAUUAUUGA
rnacentral:rRNA from 1 species